GCGUUCAAAACUAUCACUCUUGAGUGCAGUAGAGGUAGGCGGAAUUCCUAGUGUAGCGGUGAAAUGCGUAGAUAUUAGGAGGAACACCAGUGGCGAAGGCGGCCCACUGGGCUGUAACUGACGCUGAGGCUCGAAAGCGUGGGUAGCAAACAGGAUUAGAUACCCUGGUAGUCCACGCCGUAAACGAUGAUUACUAGGUGUGGGGGGACUGACCCCUUCCGUGCCGGAGUUGACACAAUAAGUAAUCCACCUGGGGAGUACGACCGCAAGGUUGAAACUCAAAGGAAUUGACGGGGGCCCGCACAAGCAGUGGAGUAUGUGGUUUAAUUCGAAGCAACGCGAAGAACCUUACCAGGUCUUGACAUCGAGUGACGAACUUAGAGAUAAGUUCUUCCUUCGGGACACGAAGACAGGUGGUGCAUGGUUGUCGUCAGCUCGUGUCGUGAGAUGUUGGGUCAAGUCCCGCAACGAGCGCAACCCUUAUCAUUAGUUGCUACGCAAGAGCACUCUAAUGAGACUGCCGUUGAUAAAACGGAGGAAGGUGGGGAUGACGUCAAAUCAUCAUGCCCCUUAUGACCUGGGCUACACACGUACUACAAUGGUGAUUAAACAGAGGGAAGCAACACAGCGAUGUGAAGCAAAUCCCGAAAAAUCAUCUCAGUUCAGAUUGCAGGCUGCAACUCGCCUGCAUGAAGUCGGAAUUGCUAGUAAUCGCGGAUCAGCAUGCCGCGGUGAAUACGUUCCCGGGCCUUGUACACACCGCCCGUCACACCAUGGGAGUCGGUAACACCCGAAGCCAGUAGCCUAACCGCAAGGAGGGCGCUGUCGAAGGUGGGAUUGAUGACUGGGGUGAAGUCGUAACAAAGGUAGCCGUAGCC
rnacentral:rRNA from 1 species